UACGAAGGGGGCUAGCGUUGCUCGGAAUCACUGGGCGUAAAGCGCACGUAGGCGGAUCUUUAAGUCAGAGGUGAAAUCCCAAGGCUCAACCUUGGAACUGCCUUUGAUACUGGGGGAUCUCGAGUCCGGAAGAGGUGAGUGGAACUGCGAGUGUAGAGGUGAAAUUCGUAGAUAUUCGCAAGAACACCAGUGGCGAAGGCGGCUCACUGGUCCGGUACUGACGCUGAGGUGCGAAAGCGUGGGGAGCAAACAGG
rnacentral:rRNA from 1 species